GACGAACGCUGGCGGCGUGCUUAACACAUGCAAGUCGAACGGUAAGGCCCUUCGGGGUACACGGGUGGCGAACGGGUGAGUAACACGUGGGUGAUCUGCCCUGCACUUCGGGAUAAGCCUGGGAAACUGGGUCUAAUACCGGAUAGGACCACUGCCUGCAUGGGUGGUGGUGGAAAGCUUUUGCGGUGUGGGAUGGGCCCGCGGCCUAUCAGCUUGUUGGUGGGGUGAUGGCCUACCAAGGCGACGACGGGUAGCCGGCCUGAGAGGGUGACCGGCCAAACUGGGACUGAGAUACGGCCCAGACUCCUACGGGAGGCGGCAGUGGGGAAUAUUGCACAAUGGGCGCAAGCCUGAUGCAGCGACGCCGCGUGAGGGAUGACGGCCUUAGGGUUGUAAACCUCUUUCAGCACCGACGAAGCGCAAGUGACGGUAGGUGCAGAAGAAGGACCGGCCAACUACGUGCCAGCAGCCGCCGUAA
rnacentral:rRNA from 1 species